GCCCCCGUAGCUCAGUUGGAUAGAGCAACGGAUUUCUAAUCCGUCGGUCGCAGGUUCGAAUCCUGCCGGGGGUA
rnacentral:tRNA from 1 species